UUUAUAUUAUUUCAGAAUUUGCUAUUUUAGACACUUGGUAUAAGCUGUCAUACUACACGUGGCAUGUGGUAUCCCACUAAUUAGCUAUUUUAAACAUGUGACAAGUGGUAUGACACUGCAUUGAUGUAUGUGAAAUGUAU